rnacentral:rRNA from 1 species
CCUACGGGAGGCAGUAGUGGGGGAUAUUGCACAAUGGGGGGAACCCUGAUGCAGCGACGCCGCGUGGGUGAAGAAGCGCCUCGGCGCGUAAAGCCCUGUCAGCAGGGAAGAAAAUGACGGUACCUGAAGAAGAAGCCCCGGCUAACUACGUGCCAGCAGCCGCGGUAAUACGUAGGGGGCACGCGUUAUCCGGAUGUACUGGGUGUAACGGGGGCGCAGACGGCGAUGCAAGCCAGGAGUGAAAGCUCGGGGCCCAACCCCUGGACUGCUCUUGAAACUGAGUGGCUGGAGUGCAGGAGGGGCAGGCGGAAUGCCUGGUGUAGCGGUGAAAUGCGUAGAUAUCAGGCGGAACACCGAUGGCGAAGGCGGCCUGCUGGACUGCAACUGACGUUGAGGCACGAAAGCGUGGGGAGCAAACAGGAUUAGAUACCCGUGUAGUC